AUACGGAGGAUCCGAGCGUUAUCCGGAUUUAUUGGGUUUAAAGGGUGCGCAGGCGGGAGAUUAAGUCGGCGGUGAAAAUUUGCAGCUCAAAUGUAAAAGUGCCCUCGAAACUGGGUUCCUUGAGUGUAGAUGAAGUAGGAGGAAUUUGUGGGGUAGCGGUGAAAUGCAUAGAUAUCACGAGGAACUCCGAUUGCGCAGGCAGCUUACUAAACUACUACUGACGCUCAGGCACGAAGGCGUGGGGAUCAAACAGGAUUAGAUACCCUGGUAGUCCACGCAGUAAACGAUGAUUACUAGCUGUUUGCGAUACAAUGUAAGCGGCUGAGCGAAAGCGUUAAGUAAUCCACCUGGGGAGUACGUUCGCAAGAAUGAAACUCAAAGGAAUUGACGGGG
rnacentral:rRNA from 1 species